GGGGGAUUAGCUCAGCUGGCUAGAGCGCCUGCUUUGCACGCAGGAGGUCAUCGGUUCGACUCCGAUAUUCUCCA
rnacentral:tRNA from 2 species